rnacentral:tRNA from 1 species
ACUUGGUCGGCUCAGGCAGUAGAGCAUGUGACUCUUGAUCUUUAGGUGGUGGGUUUGAGCCCCACAUUGGGUA